AAUUGUGACUCUUGCUCUAUAGCGAACACCAAACAUCUAUUGGCUAUAAAAGGAAGUUAUUGGUGAUUGCUCUUGUCAAUCUGCCAGGACUUAGAAUCAUCUGGGAGGCACACCUGCAAGUGUGUUUCCAGAGAGGAUAAAGUGAAGAUGGGAUCUCAAAGUGGGAUUUCAUCUUCUAGGAGCAUAGAAUAUGGACUCAGUAAUCUUGCAUCAUCAUGAGAAGCCAUGCACUUACUUGGAGCAAACCCGGAUGAGCAGGGAUCCUCGGCGGCAGCCUUAGCAGUGUCUCUCGCCCCAGACUGCCAGUUGGUAUGCAUCCCAUCUCAGGAGGAAAUGAUGGUUAAAUACCAAAACAUCUUCCAGUGUCAGCCCCACAUGGAACCCUCAAGAACAGUCCAGUUUACUGACCUCUCCCAUAGUUAUCUAACAUCAGCUGACUGCAAUAAAAUGUAAGCUGCAUCAAGAUCUGUGUCUUGCUUCGCCAUCAUCACAGAAGCUUCCUCCCACAGUAGAUGGGAACAAAUUCAAAGACCGAUGUCCAAACAAUUCGCAGAGAGAGAGAGAGAGAUACAAGGGAUGUCUCCAUCAAUCCCCCCCGCCCGCCCCCACAACAAGGCCUUAGGGAGCUCUGCAGAAGAGGGGGCAGAAAGAUUGCAAGAGCCAGAGGAGAUGGACACCAAAGAAUCAAGGUCUUCUAGCUACAAGACUGGAGCCCAUAUGAAUUCACAGAGACUGUGGCAGCAUGCACAGAGCCUAUGCGGACCUGCACCACAUGGGGUCCUAGAGCUGAAAGCCUUGGGCACAUGCCCUCAUCCCUAUCAUAGAUGCUCUCUCCAAUUGAUAGGCACUUGCAAAGGAAAACUUAGUUUUCUCUAAGGGAGACUCAUAGGAGAAACAAACCAGUCCUAAGGCUAGGCCCCAUGCCCAGCAGUAGAUGGCCAACACAAAACUAUCUCAAUGGUCUUGUCAGAGGUUCUUUGUCUCAAAAUGUUAAGUCGGGGCUUUUUUUUUUUUUUUUUUUUUUUUUAAACCUUACAGCAGGUCCUCUGUGAAUGUACUAUGGCUUCUGGUCUUGAGGUUUUAUAUGAUUCUCUCUCUCUCUCUCUCUCUCUCUCUCUCUCUCUCUCUCUCUCUCUCUCUCUGUGUAUGUGUGUGUGUGUGUGUGUGUGUAGAUGUUCAUGUGUCUCUGGGUCUAUAUGUGUUUCUUGUUCUUUUUCUCCUGCUCUUUUUCUUCUUGGUCACUGUGUCAUACUCUGAUUUGUUUGAUUUAUUUUUAUUUUCUUAUCAUUUCUUAGAUGCUUAUUUUUUCCCCCUUAGGGAAAGACAGAAAGGGUGUGAAUUUGAAUGGGAGGGUAAGUGGGAAGAAACUGGGAGGAGUGGGGAAGGGGAAACCAUAAUCAGAAUAUAUUGUAUGAAAAAAAAUCUAUUUUCAAUAAAAAGAAAAUUCUAGAGGAUCUAAA
rnacentral:lncRNA from 1 species